GUGCUCACCUCGGCAGCACAUAUACUAAAAUUGGAACUAUACAGAGAAGAUUAGCAUGGCCCCUGUGCAAGGACAACGUGCAAAUUCAUGAAUUGUCCCAUAUUAAA
rnacentral:snRNA from 1 species